rnacentral:rRNA from 1 species
UACGUAGGGGGCAAGCGUUGUCCGGAUUUAUUGGGCGUAAAGAGCUCGUAGGUGGUUUGUCGCGUUGUUCGUGAAAACCGGGGGCUUAACCCUCGGCGUGCGGGCGAUACGGGCAGACUUGAGUACUGCAGGGGAGACUGGAAUUCCUGGUGUAGCGGUGGAAUGCGCAGAUAUCAGGAGGAACACCGAUGGCGAAGGCAGGUCUCUGGGCAUUAACUGACGCUGAGGAGCGAAAGCAUGGGGAGCGAACAGG